rfam:Pseudomonas putida KT2440 complete genome.
UCUUCGCGACUUCAGGAGGCCGAACGCAGGCCUUGCGCAGGGAGGUGACGGGCAUGGAUGCCCGUCAAGCGCUGUGCCCGAGGAUGGGGCCUGCAGCGCGGUCCUCCCGGGAGCAAGCCCUACGCUCGGCCUCCUGAAGUCGCAAUCU